GACGAACGCUGGCGGCGUGCUUAACACAUGCAAGUCGAACGGAAAGGCCCUGCUUUUGUGGGGUGCUCGAGUGGCGAACGGGUGCGUAACACGUGAGUAACCUGCCCUUGACUUUGGGAUAACUUCAGGAAACUGGGGCUAAUACCGUAUAGGAGCUCCUGCUGCAUGGUGGGGGUUGGAAAUUUUCGGCGGGUGGGGAUGGACUCGCGGCUUAUCAGCUUGUUGGUGGGGUAGUGGCUUACCAAGGCUUUGACGGGUAGCCGGCCUGAGAGGGUGACCGGCCACAUUGGGACUGAGAGACGGCCCAGACUCCUACGGGGGGCAGCAGGGGGGAAUAUUGCACAAUGGGCGGAAGCCUGAUGCAGCAACGCCGCGUGUGGGAUGACGGCCUUCGGGUUGUAAACCGCUUUAGCCUGUGACGAAGCGUGAGUGACGGUAAUGGGUAAAGAAGCACCGGCUAACUACGUG
rnacentral:rRNA from 1 species